rnacentral:sRNA from 1 species
CCGAGGUGCCGGCUCUGCUCCGGCUUCCCGCAGCGCGGAAGACGCUCGGUCGGGUUGGGUCUACCGGGAUCACAGCGUCCUGCAGAGGCGCAGGAGCAGAAGUCCCAGUGCGCGCGCAGCCGCACAGAGCGCCGCCGCCGGGGGUCAGAAAACAGCCCAGCGGGCACUUCCGCCCUCCGAACCAGAGCGAACCGCAGCGCCCGUAGCCCACCGUAAGUCCAGUCACCCUCGGCGCCCGGAGAUGACGUCACCCGCCCACGUGGCCAGCGCCCCGCCCUCUGAGUUCCGCCCAACCGGGCAAGACCCGAGCUGCUCCUGAGCGUGCGCAGAGACAAGGAGCGCCUGAGCUCGCAUUGAGUCCGCUGGUUUCCUUCUUGGACCAACAGAACGCGUACGUUGGUGUUCCCGGUUGUCAGUUGUAGAAGAACAGAGAAAUAAAGGACCCUGAGACGUCCGCUGCCGCGGUAGCGGCAUUUUUCUCUUCCUCACAAAACAGUAUUGUAAAAACCUUACUGUUAAGAGUGAUUGGGGUGGUUUGGUUGGGCUAGAGUCAGGACAGAGGUGUCAAGCUGCAACUACAGCAGAUCUGGGACUUAAGGAGUUUGUCUCGGGCUGCUCAGCCUCCCAAGUGCGAGAACUGCAGACGCGAGCCACCACACCUGGCUUUCAAGGAACUUUUCGGUUUCAUGAGGUCCCAUUCACUAACUGGUGUUCUCAGUGUUUGCCCCGUCUGUGUUCUACUCAGUCAUCUCCUACGGCAAUGCACCCAAGCUUAGUCACCACUUUCUCCUCUGUCAGGUCCGGUGUAUCCGGUUUUCUGUUGAGAUCUUCGAUGCACUUGCACUUGAGUUCUGCAGGAUGAUGAGUGUCUCAGUUCUCCAGAUAAAACUUCAAGUACUGUAUUAAAUGGAUAUGAAGAGAACAAACAGCCUUGCUUUGUUCCUGAUUUUAGUGGAGUUUCUUAAAGUUUCUAUCCAUUUUUGGAAAAUAAUUUGAGGAGUAUUGGCAUUAACUCUUCUUUGUGCUCUGGGCUUGUUUUGGUUGAUUUUGAUGACUGCUCUUCAGUAGGAAUUAUAAGUCUGUUUCAAAUGUUUACCUUAUUGUCUUAGUCAAAGUUUGUAUUUCUGCACCAAACAUCAUAACUUGGCCUUCUCCCUUGCAGUUUUAAUAUUUUUUCAGUAUGUUUUGUGUUUUUAUUAUUAUAUGCUGAAAGGACUCUCUAUUUUGGUUUGAUCUAUUUCGUGUUCUGUAUGCUUCUUGUAUGCAUCUUCUUCUCUAGGUUGUAAAAUUUUUCUUCUAUGAUUUUGUUCAAUAUAUUUUCUGAAACUUCAAACUGCUUUCUGUCUUAUUAUGAGGCUUCCAGGACCCACAUGCAAUUUAAAUAAGACACAGAGACGUCUAUGUAGUUUAAAGCUGUUGGCCUUGUCCUAGGUCAAUCUCUCAGCUAGCUCAUCUAAAUUUAUCCUAACUUCUCUGCCUCCUGUCUCCUCAUGUGAUUCUCACUAUCUGCUCUCUCCAUUCUGCUUCUUUCUGUGUCUCCGUCCAUCUGUGCAUCUCUUUGAGUCUCCUGCAUCUCCUUCCCUCUCUACCUAGGAGUCCCUCCCUAGAUCCAGCUCCAGGUUUGGCCAUCAGCUCUUUAUUAUACAAAAAGCAUAGUCCAGCCUUUACCAAUCAGCAGCAAGAUGAUCUGGUCCAUCUCUUAGGGUGGCCCUUAGGCAAUGAGGCCCAUCUGACCUUCAUCUUUGGGCAGGUGAGGAAGGGCAAGCAUUUCCAUAUAGAAAACCAGUGAUGGGCUAGAAAUGACAGUACCAAGAUCCUGUUAGGUUUUACAAUUAACAAUUGAAAAAUACAGGGACAUACCUUCAAAGGGAAGAUCACCCCGACAUCUUCCCCUUUGUCUUAGCGUUUUUCAUUGCUGUGAGCAGAUACCAAUGACCAGGGAAAUUCUUAUUAAGGACAACAUUUAAUUGGGGCUGGCUUACAGGUUCUGAGGUUCAGUCCAUUAUCAUCAUGAUAGGAAGCAGUGUCCAGGGAGGCCUGGUCCUGAAGGAGCUGAGAGUUCUACAUCUUGUUCCAAAGGCAAACAGGACACGGCUUCUUUCUAUAAACUGAGGUUGCUGUUGGGGUAUUUGUUGCUACUACCGCCCCAAAUUACUGCAAGCUGUUUACCAAUCUUCACAGAUGACAUAAUUUUAUCAUUGAUAUACAGUAUUUUAAUCCCUACUGGGUCUGUUCCUGAUAAUUGACAAAGUCUUAAUCUUCCUUUUACAAUCAAGUCAGGACCUUUUACAUAGGUCUCAAUUUUUUUACUCUGUUUAUAUGCUAAAAAUAUCCAUUCUAAGACAAUAAUCUUUCCUCUGCAUAAGAAUUCCUGUGGGAGAAUGAGUAGAAGGCAAAAUAACUAAAAUCCCAUCAAUCUUUGGAUCCAAGCACUCCAUGUGUGCUUCCGGUAAUCUCUUUUCUACCAGAGCCAAUUUUCUCUCAGUUUUUACUGAUAAUUUUCCCAGACUAUUUAAUUCUGACUCACCUUGUAAGAUUUGAAAUAAAUUACUUAGCUCUUGAAUAGUUAAUCCGGUUUUAACCGAUAGCCAGUUAAUAUCUCCCAGCCAUUUUUGAAAAUCAUUAUGAGUUUGUAAUUGAUCUAUUAUUAUGUAUAUUUUCUGUGGAUGAAUUUUCUGUAAACCUAUCUUAUAUCCUAGAUAAUUAGUAGAAUCUUCUCUUUGUAUUUUUUUCAGGAGAAAUUCAUAUUCCCCAACAAGGCAAACUUAUCCUUCCUUCAUCAAAUAUUUCCCUGAGGAAUCUGAAUCAGCCAGUAAUAUAUUAUCCAUAUAAUGAUAAAUUAUAGAUUCAGGAAAUUGUUCAUGGGUAUGAACAUUGUUCAUUCUAAUGGCUGUUGUACAAAUAUUGACAUAAGGGAACUUGGACGGUUGGGAAAACAAUGAUCCAGAGAGGCAUUGCCAUCCAUACGAUUCUGACAACAAGUUCACUGUGCUGUGUCCAGAGGCGAUGAGAAAGAAGUGAUGUGUCUCCACUUGAAGAGUCAUAUACAUGACAAGGAUAACAGACAACGGUCAGGGGCUUGGAAGCAAAGGAUGAGGGGCCAUGAGAUUAAAAAGGUCAUCCUGAGACAGCAGAACCGAGGACUCUUCAGAGGAAGCCUCCUCAGCGGAGAUGGUGCAGUUCCUAGGGGAGUGUAUCCCCAGCUCAGCUGAGGAGUUCAGGAACCUCAGCUCUGCCCCUCAUUUUUUCUCUUCUCUCAUUGCUUCUUGAGUUUUCCGGAUUGAGGAUUGAUGGGAGAUCAAAUUCUGUGCUUGGGGAGCACAGCAAUUGACAUCUCGGAUGCACCCAGGAAAAUGUGACUCUGAUUCCUUGAAGCACUGCUUAUUGAAGCACGGUGUUGUAAGGACUUCCUAACAGAUAUAUUUACACGGAGUGCCUUGCAGUAUACCAGAGUCCCAAAACGACAAGAAGAUUAGGGGUGGUCCAUGUGCUGAGCCACCUAAAGGAUCCUUCCAUUUGACCAUAUUGAAAGAGGAUUGUGUAUGAGGAUGCCAAAAUCUAUCUUCAGCAGAUCUGCCGUCCUUGUCUAAUGGGAAAAAUGUAAUCCCUUGAGGAUUAUAAGAAUUCCCUGUUUCACGAGUUAUGUUAAAUUGUGACCAAAACUUCAUAAAUGACUUUCUAAGUCUAACUCAUCUUCAUCUGGGAAUUCGGCCAGAGAAGGGAGAGGAGGCACAGGGGCAGCUGCAGAUGGUUGCUCCCCAGCACCCUGCGUUCUUCAAUGUCCUCAACUACUACUCAGCUUGUGUAAUUUUUGAGACUCAUGGCCAGGAUCUAAAUCAUCCCUGAUUAAAGCCCACAAAGGAAAAGUAAGUACUGGGACCUUUUCAGGUCCAGGAACAGUGCAAUAAUCUGCUAAGCAUUUUCCAAUUUUCCCCCAAGUUUUCAUAUUUACCGUUCCUUGCUCUAGGAACCAAGGACAAACUUCCUCAAUAAACUUUAAAGAUCUCAUCAACAGUGAGAACUCACCUCAGCCCCUUGUGUCUUUAACUUGCCUUUAAGCAUUUGGACAAGCAACAGCCCACUGCUAGACAGUCCCAUUGCACAGCAUGCUGACUCUCUCUCUCUCUCUCUCUCUCUCUCUCUCUCUCUCUCUCUCUCUUCUCUCUCUCUCUGUUUUAAUUGAGCACUCCUCGGCAGUGGCCCUCACUGAAUCCCCAAGCUGUACCCAGCCUGCAGGUACAAGUCAACCUAGAACAGGAAUGGGGGAGUGAGGAUGAAAAGAGAGACACAAGGAAUGGACUCAAGCCUGAUCCUGGACAAGACUCAGUUUAGUACUGUUGGUCCAGCUUAUAAGCACUCCAGCAAACAAAGCUCUUCCUGAGAAAGAUCCUUUAAAGACUCAGUGUAGAUGAGAGUUCUCUUGACUGCACACACUGCUCUCUGACCUUGAGUGCACACACUGCUCUCUGACCUUGAGUGCACACACUGCUCUCUGACCUUCACUGCACACACUGCUCUCUGACCUUCA